GACAGAGGGUGCAAACGUUGUUCGGAAUUACUGGGCGUAAAGCGCGUGUAGGCGGCUAAGUAAGUCGGGUGUGAAAGCCCUGGGCUCAACCCAGGAAGUGCACUCGAAACUGCGAAGCUCGAGUCCUGGAGAGGAAGGCGGAAUUCUCGGUGUAGAGGUGAAAUUCGUAGAUAUCGAGAGGAACACCUGUGGCGAAGGCGGCCUUCUGGACAGUGACUGACGCUGAGACGCGAAAGCGUGGGGAGCAAACAGG
rnacentral:rRNA from 1 species